CUCUCUAUCUUCUUCUCCCUCUCCCUUCUUCUCUCUCUCGACAAAUUGCAGACAUUCUCAAUCUGUCGUCGUCGUCUCCCAUCUUACCAGCCACCGCUGCCUUUGUAUAGUCGCCUCGCCGGAGCUAGCUACUGCUCCUUUGAUUUCCCCGGAAGAGGACGCUGCUGUCGCGCUGCUGUUCCGUCGCCGCCGGGAAGAGCUUCUGCUGGCUGCGUCGUCUACACAGCCGUCCAGCCGAGCCGCCUUCGCCGUCAGACGCCGGGAGAUGCUGUUGUCGCCGCCUGGAGAUGCCGCUGUAGCCGCUGCUCCGCCCCGGAACAUCACCGCCACCGCUGCUGGAUCGUUGCCGCCGGAAGAGCUGCUGUCGCGUCGGGAAGACGCGGCUCGCCGAUGGUCGUGCAGCCCCGCACAACCCCGAAAUUCUCGAUUUAAAUCUUGUAGGUAGGUUCUUACUUGAUUUGGUGAAAUAAGGUUCAAUUCUUUAACACUAUCUGUCGAUAUGGGUUAUCUGCUUAUGUUGAGUUCUUGAUAUUGCCCACCUUCUGCAAAAUUUGAUCUUGAAAGUGAUUUAUAUUUUGCUAGAUAUAUUUGCAACCUAGACAUGGUUAUGGUUUCUGUUUGGCAUUCUGCCGAGAUGAGGAAAGAAUCAAAACGCCAAAGAUAGGAGAUAAUAACCCCGAGAAUUUUGAGAUACAUUUGCAGCAUUGGUUGCCUUGGUUCGGUUUUACUUUAUUUACUUCGAUUUUGAGUUUCGAUUGGUGCAACAAAGUGAUAUGUUCUAGCAGAUUACGGAGGAGGAAAAACUCAUCGCGGAGGAGGAAAAUCUCUACAUAAUAUUUAAUUAAACUAGUUAAUUUACAGUCCAUUGUAUUUUAUUUUAAAUUGUGCAGUCCACGAUUUAUUCAUCACGGACUGGAUUUCUAUAUUAUUUAUCCAAUUUAUUCGAUUCA